rnacentral:rRNA from 1 species
UGUACACACCGCUCGUCACACCACGAGAGUUUGUAACACCCGAAGCCGGUGGAGUAACCAUUUGGAGCUAGCCGUCGAAGGUGGGACAAAUGAUUGGGGUGAAGUCGUAACAAGGUAGCCGUAUCGGAAGGUGCGGCUGGAUCACCUCCUUUCUAAGGA